rnacentral:rRNA from 1 species
CAAUAGCGUAUAUUAAAGUUGUUGCAGUUAAAAAGCUCGUAGUUGGACCUUGGACCUGGACAGGCGGUCCGCCUCACGGCGAGUACUGUCUUGCUGGGUCUUUCCUCUUGGUGAUCUGUUGUUUCGGCAGCAGGGAACCAGGACCUUUACUUUGAAAAAAUUAGAGUGUUCAAAGCAGGCUCGACGCCGGAAUAUAUUAGCAUGGAAUAAUAAAAUAGGACGUGCGGUUCUAUUUUGUUGGUUUUUGGAAUCGCCGUAAUGAUUAAUAGGGACAGUCGGGGGCAUUAGUACUCACAUGCUAGAGGUGAAAUUCUUGGAUUUUGUGAAGGCUAACUUCUGCGAAAGCAUUUGCCAAGGAUGUUUUCAUUAA